rnacentral:rRNA from 1 species
UACAGAGGUCUCAAGCGUUGUUCGGAUUCAUUGGGCGUAAAGGGCGCGUAGGCGGCGGGGUAAGUCUGGUGUGAAAUCUCGGAGCUUAACUCCGAAACUGCAUUCGAUACUGCCGUGCUUGAGGACUGGAGAGGAGACUGGAAUUUACGGUGUAGCGGUGAAAUGCGUAGAUAUCGUAAGGAAGACCAGUGGCGAAGGCGGGUCUCUGGACAGUUCCUGACGCUGAGGCACGAAGGUCAGGGGAGCAAACGGG